GAAGAGGAAGGCGAUAGAAGGCCUUCCAUUCUGGUUACGCAAAAGUGGAUCCAUUCCAUCCCACGUUGGCAGCAUUCAUGUCAUAAUAGUUGAUGUAGACCCUGCAGGAAUAGGAGGAGAUAUGUUACGCAUAGAAUCAUAGAGUUUGAAGAGACCUUGUGGGCCAUCCAGUCCCACCCUCAUGCCAAGAAGCAAGAAAUCACAUUCAAAGCACCCCCGACAGAUGGCCAUCCAGCCUCUGCUUCAAAGCCUCCAAAGAAGGAGCCUCCACCACAGUCCGGGGCAGAGAGUUCCACUGCUGAACAGCCCUCAUAGUGAGGAAGUUCUUCCUAAUGUCCAGGUGAAAUCUCCUUUCCUGUAGAUUAAAGCCAUUGUUCCACGUCCUAGUCUCCAGGGCAGCAGAAAACAAGCUUUCUUCCUCUUCCCUAGGACUUCCCCUCACAUAUUUAUCCAUGGCCCUCCUCAUGUCUCCUCUCAGCCUUCUCUUCUGCAGGCUAAACAUGCCCAGCUCUUUAAGCCGCUCCUCAUACAGCUUGUUCUCCGGACACUGGAGAUAUGUUUUAUAUUCUUCUUCUUAUCUUAUUAUUUUUUUUAAUAUUUAACAAUAUAAUUAUAUUAUUUUCAUAAUAUAUAAUUUUAAAAUAUAUUAUUAUUGUAUUAUAAUAUUAUAUUAUUAUUACUGAUUAUAUUUCAUCAUUAUUUUAUUAUAAUAUAUUGUUUUUAAUAUUAUUAUAUUGUUUUAUAUUAUUCUUAUAGGUUAUAUUAUUAUAUUAUUUUAAUAUUUAUCAUAAUUUAUUAUAUCGCUUUUAUAAUAUAUUAUUUUUGUAUUAUAAUAUUAUUAUAAUAUUUUAGUAUUAUUACUGGCUGUUAGGAAUUGUGGGAGUUGAAGUUCAAAACACCUGGAAGGAAGGAGGGCCAAAGUUGGUCCAUUCUUGGUAUACAUAUACAGUAGAGUCUCACUUAUCCAAGCCUCGCUUAUCCAAGCCUCUGGAUAAUCCAAGCCAUUUUUGUAGUCAAUGUUUUCAAUAUAUCAUGAUAUUUUGGUGCUAAAUUCGUAAAUACAGUCAUUACAACAUAA